rnacentral:rRNA from 1 species
CAAUAGCGUAUAUUAAAGUUGUUGCAGUUAAAAAGCUCGUAGUUGGAUUUCUGGUGGGAGCGAUCGGUCUGGCGCUUAGCGCGAGUACUUGCAUCGUCUCCGGCCAUCCUUGGGGAGAGUCUGUCUGGCAUUAGGUUGUCGGGCAGAGGAUCCUCAUCGUUUACUGUGAAAAAAUUAGAGUGUUCAAAGCAGGCUUAUGCCGUUGAAUAUAUUAGCAUGGAAUAAUAAGAUAGGACUUUGGUACUAUUUUGUUGGUUUGCGCACCAAAGUAAUGAUUAAUAGGGACAGUUGGGGGUAUUCGUAUUCCGUUGUCAGAGGUGAAAUUCUUGGAUUUCUGGAAGACGAACUACUGCGAAAGCAUUUACCAAGGAUGUUUUCAUUAA